rnacentral:rRNA from 1 species
CAGUAGCCGCGCGGGAAUACGGAGGGUGCAAGCGUUAAUCGGAAUUACUGGGCGUAAAGCGUGCGUAGGCGGUUCGUUAAGUCUGUUGUGAAAGCCCCGGGCUCAACCUGGGAAUGGCAAUGGAUACUGGCGAGCUAGAGUGUGUCAGAGGAUGGUGGAAUUCCCGGUGUAGCGGUGAAAUGCGUAGAGAUCGGGAGGAACAUCAGUGGCGAAGGCGGCCAUCUGGGACAACACUGACGCUGAGGCACGAAAGCGUGGGGAGCAAACAGGAUUAGAUACCCCAGUAGUCCCUGUCUCUUAU